rnacentral:misc_RNA from 1 species
AAGGAUCAUUACAGAGUUCAUGCCCUCACGGGUAGAUCUCCCACCCUUGAAUAUUUUAUACCUUUGUUGCUUUGGCGGGCCGCUUCGGCUACCGGCUUCGGCUGGUGAGUGCCCGCCAGAGGACCCCAAAUUCUGAAUUAAGUGUCGUCUGAGUACUAUAAAAUAGUUAAAACUUUCAACAACGGAUCUCUUGGUUCUG